rnacentral:rRNA from 1 species
AUUGAACGCUGGCGGCAGGCUUAACACAUGCAAGUCGAGCGGAGUGAUGGUGCUUGCACUAUCACUUAGCGGCGGACGGGUGAGUAAUGCUUAGGAAUCUGCCUAUUAGUGGGGGACAACAUCUCGAAAGGGAUGCUAAUACCGCAUACGUCCUACGGGAGAAAGCAGGGGAUCACUUGUGACCUUGCGCUAAUAGAUGAGCCUAAGUCGGAUUAGCUAGUUGGUGGGGUAAAGGCCUACCAAGGCGACGAUCUGUAGCGGGUCUGAGAGGAUGAUCCGCCACACUGGGCCUGAGACACGGCCCAGACUCCUACGGGAGGCAGCAGUGGGGAAUAUUGGACAAUGGGGGAACCCUGAUCCAGCCAUGCCGCGUGUGUGAAGAAGGCCUUAUGGUUGUAAAGCACUUUAAGCGAGGAGGAGGCUCUUUUGGUUAAUACCCAAGAUGAGUGGACGUUACUCGCAGAAUAAGCACCGGCUAACUCUGUGCCAGCCGCCGCCGUAA